rnacentral:rRNA from 1 species
GCCUACGGCCAUACCACCCUGAAAGCGCCUGAUCUCGGAAGCUAAGCAGGGACCGGCCUGGUUAGUACCUGGAUGGGAGACCGCCUGGGAAUGCCAGGUGUUGUAGGCU